UCAACAGAUUUAUUUUUUUUGGAAUAAAUCAAUGUUAGUUAUUUCCUGAAUACAUGACUAAAUACAGAGUUAUUUCCUAAAUGCCUGCUAUUCUUUAUGGGCUUGGCUUUUAGUUAUUUGUUCUCCUUGGUGUUUGUAUGAUUGUGCUGUGUAAAUGUAUUUAAAUAUUCUAAUAUUUAACUGCAGGCCCUUGACACAUUCAACACAGCAGUUGUAUCGCCUAUAUACUAUGUGAUGUUUACGUCCUGCGGUCUAUGUGAAGGUAACACCUGAGGAUGUUCAUAAGUUCAACUUGCCCCCAGAAUAUGUCAAUAAAACUCCAUCUGGUGAAACUUUUGUUAAACCAAAUUUACAGAAGGGCAUACUUCCAGAAAUUCUCGAAGAAUUAUUGGCUGCUCGUAAAAGGGCUAAAGCAGAUCUUAAGGAAGCAAAGGAUCCAUUUGAGAAGGCUGUACUGAAUGGUCGUCAGCUGGCUCUGAAAAUAAGUGCGAACUCAGUGUAUGGAUUUACUGGAGCUACAGUGGGACAACUACCUUGUUUGGAGAUAUCUUCCAGUGUGACAAGCUAUGGGGCCUAUUGUUACCACAAUCCGAGCUUUACUGAUACCUCAUCCAAUGAAGGAACUUCGAGUAAAGUGGUAUGCCAGAGUGUAAGCUUGGACUGAAUGACAGACUCCUUUUGGAGGCUCAAGGUCGAACAACAAAGGGAAAAGCCAUUGAUCUGGAUGAUAUCAAGUUUCAUCAGUGUGUGCGUUUGGCCCGUUUUGAAAAUGACAGGACAAUAUCCUUCAUUCCGCCCGAUGGAUCCUUGAUUUGAUGACCUACAGACUCAGUAGUCAGGUUUAUGUUUUGCUUCCGCAAUGUGUAUUGGCUAAUGCUGCUACUACCGCCAACCCAGUUUCAGAACUUACAAUGUUUAUUGAGGCUAAUUCCAUCUUCGGUUUCAGGUCAAACCUUUGAUCUAGGUCGAAGCUCAAGUUGAAAGGCAUUCGAGAAGUCAUAUAGAGAUCAUGGUAAAGGCGAGGAGUCAGUUCAAGGAGCGCAGCACAGCUACAAAUGUGGAGAUUGAGCUACCUGUACCUGCAGAUGCAACAACCCCCAAUAUAAGGACUUCCAUGGGUUCUGCAGCAUAACCUGAAAAUGAUGCGUUGCACUGGAAAAUAAAAUCUUUUCGUGGUGGCAAGGUGUGAAGGAGCUUGAGGCAAAAUGGAUUGGAUGGGCUGGUCUAUAUGUACCGGAUGAAAUUGGGCAGCAAUCACUUACCAAAGCACUAGCAGAAAAGCUGAUUUGGGAAUGGUGGAUUGGGUGAAGAGGCUUGCGAAAAAUCCCUGUGAUCCUGGUUUCGGGAUGGCAACGGAACAACCUAGGUGGAGGGUGCAUAGAAUUGCAGGGCACUGGGAACGGGUGCUUCUAGCCCGAGCGGUGUUACUGCAAAAGAAGGCAUGUCUGUUUGAGUGCUGAGGGGUCUCUCUUGCAGGGACUGGCACUACUGCAGAUAUGAUCGGGCAAAACUGAUAGAGAAAAUCGCUACGUUUGGAAGGAAGAUUUGUUAAUAUUUUCUCUUCAACAUCAUUUUAGCAUGACUAAACAAUUGUCUUGGAAGAUUUGUUAAUACUUCGAACACUGAUUAAACGUGAGUCGCAAUCAACUUCAGGGCGAAUUGGGUGGCCAAUUUGGUGGACAACUAACUGGUCUCUCGACAUUGUACACUGUAGAAGCCCUGGAGAUGCCGUUGUUGCCCAUGGCAAAAGAUGGUACUGAGGCUCUUGGCUCAAUGGGAAAUGAUGCUCCUUUGGCUGUGAUGUCCAACAGAGAGAAACUUACAUUUGAGUAUUUCAAGUAGAUGUUUGCUCAGGUUACAAACCCACCGAUUGAUCCGAUCUGAGAGAAAAUAGUCAUGUGGAAGGGGACCUUACUGAAACAGUUCAUGUGGAAGGCUAUGUAGCAGUUUGUUUGUUUUGAAAACUCUAAAUACACCAUUAAUUGUUUUGUUGAUUGUUGUCUUGAUGGAUGUUAAAUGGGUGAAACAUGCACAGGUUCAGUCAUUGGUUGAUUAUAAUAUUGUUAGCUUUUGUUGAUAGAAA